AUGGAGAAGCAGAAGCUGCGCCGUCUCGUGCGAGCACCACGCAGGGCCGCCGGCGAGGACCGCCUGAGCGCCCUUCCUGACGAGCUGAUCGGCCUCAUUGUGGGCAGGCUGGACACCCGCACCGCGCUCUCCACCGCCGUCCUCGCUAGGCGCUGGGCGCGUGUUCCUCGUGACCUGCCCGCUCUCGACUUCAGGGUCAGCGACAUACUCCCGCCAGAGUACGAUCAGGCCGUCGCUCUCCGCGAGGACAACCUGCCGCCUGACCCGGCCAUGGCCGGGAUCCGCGACGGUUUCUUGGCGCGCUGCGAGAUGGGCAGCACGAGGGCGUUGGCCGACGGAGUCACCAGCUUCUUGGCAGCCGACUGUGACGGCGACGCACCUCGCCGCGUCAAGACCCUCUGGCUCGAGUUAUUCCCCACGGAUCACGGCGGCUGCAUCGAGCGUCUGAUCGCCGCCGCUGUCGGCUCAUGGGGCGUGGAAGAUCUGGAGAUGGUCGUCAGACCAGCGUCCGGCCAUCAUGAUGGGCCCGCCUACCCCUUCCCCGACGACUGCCUCGACGACGGCGGGAGGUCGCGCCUUCGCAGCCUGACGCUCGGCAACACCACGCUCCCGCCGCUGCACAGCUACGAGGCGCUCACCACGCUCGUCUUGCAAGGCGUGGCCGCGUCCACGCCCGUCGCCGUCUACGAGAGGCUGUUCAGCGACCUCACACGGCUUCAGGUGCUGCAUCUCAUCUCAUGCAGCCGCACGGCGGACCUCGGUCAUCUGGUUCAGCUAUGA
rnacentral:rRNA from 1 species